CGUCAAUUGAAUCAGUCGCGUUUGAAAAGGAC
rnacentral:scRNA from 1 species